rnacentral:misc_RNA from 1 species
GAUGAAGAACGUAGUGAAAUGCGAUAAUUAAUGUGAAUUGCAGAAUUCAGUGAAUCAUCGAGUCUUUGAACGCACAUUGCGCCCCCUGGUAUUCCGGGGGGCAUGCCUGUCCGAGCGUCAUUGCUGCCCUCAAGCACGGCUUGUGUGUUGGGCUUCCGUCCCUGGCAACGGGGACGGGCCCAAAAGGCAGUGGCGGCACCAUGUCUGGUCCUCGAGCGUAUGGGGCUUUGUCACCCGCUCCCGUAGGUCCAGCUGGCAGCUAGCCUCGCAACCAAUCGUUUUAACCAGGUUGACCUCGGAUCAGGUAGGGAUACCCGCUGAACUUAAGCAUAUCAAUAAGCGGAGGA